rnacentral:lncRNA from 1 species
UUUUUUAAUUGAUCAUUCUUGGGUGUUUCUCGCAGAGGGGGAUUUGGCAGGGCCAUAGGACAAUAGUGGAGGGAAGGUCAGCAGAUAAACAAGUGAACAAAGGUCUCUGGUUUUCCUAGGCAGAGGACCCUGCGGCCUUCCGCAGUGUUUGUGUCCCUCGGUACUUGAGAUUAGGGAGUGGUGAUGACUCUUAACGAGCAUGCUGCCUUCAAGCAUCUGUUUAACAAAGCACAUCUUGCGCCGCCCUUAAUCCAUUUAAUCCUGAGCUGACACAGCACAUGUUUCAGAGAGCACCGGGUUGGGGUGUAAGGUCAUAGAUCAACAGCAUCCCAAGGCAGAAGAAUUUUUCUUAGUACAGAACAAAAUGGAGUCUCCUAUGUCUACUUCUUUCUACACAGACACAGCAACAAUCUGAUUUCUCUAUCUUUUCCCCACAUUUCCCCCUUUUCUAUUCGACAAAACCGUCAUCGUCAUCAUGGCCCGUUCUCAAUGAGCUGUUGGGAACACCUCCCAGACGGGGUGGCGGCCGGGGAGAGGGACUCCUCACUUCCCAGAAGGGGCGGCCGGGCAGAGGCGCCCC